rnacentral:rRNA from 3 species
UUUGAGCUGCAUGGUUCGAAUUGAAGGCGGCUUCGGCUGUCACUUAUGGAUGGACACGCGUCGCAUUAGCUAGUUGGUGAGGUAACGGCUCACCAAGGCACGAUGCGUAUCCGACCUGAUAGGGUGAUCGGCCACACUGGGACUGAGACACGGCCCAAACUCCUACGGGAGGCAGCAGUAGGGAAUCUUCCGCAUGGACGAAAGUCUGACGGAGCAACGCCGCCUGAGUGAUGAAGGUUUCCGGUCGUAAACUCUGUUGUUAGGGAGAAACAUUGCUAAUUAUUACCUGGCACCUGACGGUACCUAACAGAAGCGACGGUUACUCCUGACAGCAGCGCGUUAAUACGUUGUGGAAGAUUUCCGGAAUU